CGAGCAACCUGCCCUUGACUCCGGAAUAACAGCUGGAAACAGCUGCUAAUACCGGAUACGACCUCCGAUGGCAUCAUCUGGAGGUGGAAAGCUCCGGCGGUCAAGGAUGGGCUCGCUGCCUAUCAGCUUGUUGGUGAGGUAAUGGCUCACCAAGGCGACGACGGGUAGCCGGCCUGAGAGGGUGACCGGCCACACUGGGACGUGAGACACGGCCCACGAUCCGUACGGG
rnacentral:rRNA from 1 species